rnacentral:rRNA from 1 species
GACGAACGCUGGCGGCGUGCUUAACACAUGCAAGUCGAACGGAAAGGCCCUGCUUUUGUGGGGUGCUCGAGUGGCGAACGGGUGAGUAACACGUGAGUAACCUGCCCUUGACUUUGGGAUAACUUCAGGAAACUGGGGCUAAUACCGGAUAGGAGCUCCUGCUGCAUGGUGGGGGUUGGAAAGUUUCGGCGGUUGGGGAUGGACUCGCGGCUUAUCAGCUUGUUGGUGGGGUAGUGGCUUACCAAGGCUUUGACGGGUAGCUGGCCUGAGAGGGUGACCGGCCCCACUGGGACGGAGACACGGUCCAGGCUCCUACGGGAGGCAGCAGUGGGGAAGAUUGGACGAUGGGCGGAAGCCUGAUCCAGCCAUGCCGCGUGGGUGAAGAAGGCCUUCGGGUUGGAAGGACCGUUUGUUGGGAGAGAAAAGCAGCAGGUUAAGACCCCGCUGUUAUGACGGUACCCAAAGAAGAAGCACCGGCUAACUUCGUG